GAUGAACGCUGGCGGCGUGCCUAAUACAUGCAAGUCGAGCGAACGGACGAGAAGCUUGCUUCUCUGAUGUUAGCGGCGGACGGGUGAGUAACACGUGGAUAACCUACCUAUAAGACUGGGAUAACUUCGGGAAACCGGAGCUAAUACCGGAUAAUAUUUUGAACCGCAUGGUUCAAAAGUGAAAGACGGUCUUGCUGUCACUUAUAGAUGGAUCCGCGCUGCAUUAGCUAGUUGGUAAGGUAACGGCUUACCAAGGCAACGAUGCAUAGCCGACCUGAGAGGGUGAUCGGCCACACUGGAACUGAGACACGGUCCAGACUCCUACGGGAGGCAGCAGUAGGGAAUCUUCCGCAAUGGGCGAAAGCCUGACGGAGCAACGCCGCGUGAGUGAUGAAGGUCUUCGGAUCGUAAAACUCUGUUAGUAGGGAAGAACAUAUGUGUAAGUAACUGUGCACAUCUUGACGGUACCUAAUCAGAAAGACACGGCUAACUACGUG
rnacentral:rRNA from 1 species